rnacentral:tRNA from 1 species
UUGGACACCGUCCGUUCAGGACCCACACGUUUGCUUGUCUGGUAUUAAAGGGUGUAGACGCUUUCUAUAGGUCUGUAGCUCAGUUGGUUAGAGCGCACCCCUGAUAAGGGUGAGGUCGGCAGUUCAAAUCUGCCCAGACCUACCAAUUUCAGCACGGUUUUGGGGCCUUAGCUCAGCUGGGAGAGCGCCUGCCUUGCACGCAGGAGGUCAGCGGUUCGAUCCCGCUAGGCUCCACCAAGUUGCUGCGGUGGUAGAGGCGCCAAGAAGUCAGAACCAAGCAUUGUUUUGCUUGCUUCUGACUUUUUAGUCGGAUGUCGGAAUCUGCAUGAUUCGACAAGCUCUUUAACAAUUUGGAAAUGAGAAGUCCAAGUAUUCAUUGAGAAUGCAAGCGUUUAGAUAUUUCUCUGACACUUGUGUCUUAUUGGUGAAUCGUUAUCACGAUGAAAGACCUGGACGGUGGUGAGUUUUCUUUUUGAGGUGAGAGCCUUUGAAGGGAAAUGCAGC